AUACGUAGGGGGCGAGCGUUGUCCGGAAUGAUUGGGCGUAAAGGGCGCGUAGGCGGCCCGGUAAGUCUGGAGUGAAAGUCCUGUUUUUAAGAUGGGAAUUGCUUUGGAUACUGUCGGGCUUGAGUGCAGGAGAGGUAAGUGGAAUUCCCAGUGUAGCGGUGAAAUGCGUAGAGAUUGGGAGAAACACCAGUGGCGAAGGCGACUUACUGGACUGUAACUGAUGCUGAGGCGCGAAAGUGUGGGGAGCAAACAGGAUUAGAUACCCUGGUAGUCCACACUGUAAACGAUGAAUGCUAGGUGUAGGGGGUAUCGACCCCUUCUGUGCCGCAGUCAACACAAUAAGCAUUCCGCCUGGGGAGUACGGCCGCAAGGUUGAAACUUAAAGGAAUUGACGGGG
rnacentral:rRNA from 1 species